AGAAAGUUAGCUAAGUACUUGUUUCUUGGACUGAAAAUCCAUGUGUCGGCAGUUCGAUUCUGCCCCUGGCCACCA
rnacentral:tRNA from 1 species